rnacentral:rRNA from 1 species
AGAGUUUGAUCCUGGCUCAGGAUGACCCUUAGCGACAGGCUUAACACAUGCAAGUCGAGGGGCAGCGGGGGCGUAGCAAUAUGCCUGCCGGCGACCGGCGCACGGGUGAGUAACACGUAUGUAACCUGCCCUAUGCAGGGGGAUAACCCGGAGAAAUCCGGCCUAAUACCGCGUAACACCUUAGGGGAGCAUUCUCUUGAGGUUAAAGGAGAGAUCCGGCAUAGGAUGGACAUGCGUCGCAUUAGGUAGACGGCGGGGUAACGGCCCACCGUGCCGACGAUGCGUAGGGGUUCUGAGAGGAAGGCCCCCCACACUGGUACUGAGACACGGACCAGACUCCUACGGGAGGCAGCAGUGAGGAAUAUUGGUCAAUGGCCGAGAGGCUGAACCAGCCAAGUCGCGUGAGGGAAGAAUGUCCUAAGGAUUGUAAACCUCUUUUGUCGGGGAGCAAAAAGGCUUUGCGGAGUCGUAUUGAGAGUACCCGAAGAAAAAGCAUCGGCUAACUCCGUGCCAGCAGCCGCGGUAAUACGGAGGAUGCGAGCGUUAUCCGGAUUUAUUGGGUUUAAAGGGUGCGCAGGCGGCGUGUCAAACAAGCGGUAAAAUAGCGGGGCUCAACCCCGUCGAGCCGUUUGAACUGGCGCGCUUGAGUUCAGGCGAGGUAGGCGGAAUUCGUGGUGUAGCGGUGAAAUGCAUAGAUAUCACGAAGAACUCCGAUUGCGAAGGCAGCUUACCAGUCUGCGACUGACGCUCAGGCACGAAAGUGUGGGUAUCGAACAGAAGUAGAUACCCUGGUAGUCCACACAGUAAACGA